AGGCGCGUAGCUCAGAUGGUUAGAGCAUCACCUUGACAUGGUGGGGGUCGUUGGUUCGAGUCCAAUCGCGCCUACCA
rnacentral:tRNA from 1 species